GAUGAACGCUGGCGGCGUGCCUAAUACAUGCAAGUCGAGCGAACGGACGAGAAGCUUGCUUCUCUGAUGUUAGCGGCGGACGGGUGAGUAACACGUGGAUAACCUACCUAUAAGACUGGGAUAACUUCGGGAAACCGGAGCUAAUACCGGAUAAUAUUUUGAACCGCAUGGUUCAAAAGUGAAAGACGGUCUUGCUGUCACUUAUAGAUGGAUCCGCGCUGCAUUAGCUAGUUGGUAAGGUAACGGCUUACCAAGGCAACGAUGCAUAGCCGACCUGAGAGGGUGAUCGGCCACACUGGAACUGAGACACGGUCCAGACUCCUACGGGAGGCAGUAGUAGGGAAUCUUCCGCAAUGGGCGAAAGCCUGACGGAGCAACGCCGCGUGAGUGAUGAAGGUCUUCGGAUCGUAAAACUCUGUUAUUAGGGAAGAACAUAUGUGUAAGUAACUGUGCACAUCUUGACGGUACCUAAUCAGAAAGCCACGGCUAACUACGUG
rnacentral:rRNA from 1 species